AGGCUGUUGAGGGGACAUCUCAGGAGUACCGAGCAGCAGGGGAAGCCCAGGCUGGGGUGGAAGGCCCGGUGGAUUUGUAGCAGAGCAGUGAGUCCAUCUGAGGGGGCGUCAAUGGGGGUCACCUUCCUCUCCAGUGGAAAGUGACAGAAGAGGGGUAAGGGAAGCUCCUGUGGGAAUCCCAGUGACAGAUCUGGGGGCUGGGACCUAAGGGGGUGGCAGUGGUAG